UACAGAGAGUGCGAACGUUGUUCGGAAUUACUGGGCUUAAAGCGCACGUAGGCGGUGCUGUAAGUGUCAGGUGAAAUCCCACGGCUCACCCGUGGAACUGCCUGGCAGACUGCGGUGCUAGAGUGUGGUAGGGGAGAGCGGAACUCCUGGUGGAGCGGUGAAAUGCGUAGAUAUCAGGAGGAACACCGGUGGCGAAGGCGGCUCUCUGGUCCACAACUGACGCUGAGGUGCGAAAGCCAGGGGAGCAAACGGG
rnacentral:rRNA from 1 species